ensembl:lncRNA
CGGAACUCUUGUGUACAUGUAUUCGUAUACAGUCAUAAGCUGCUUUAUGUGUGAUUUUCCCUGCUUUUGCACCGUUUAGGUUGAUACUCUAACACAAAUCUCACAUGUUUUGAUACUCUGAGCUUGAUGUAUUUUUUUCCUCAUGCGCUACUAUUUUUACUCGAGAACCCGAGCCCAUUUUGGAGAAGUUCUUAUAAAUAAUAAAGAAGGAAGGAGGGAUGGAGGGAUAGCAGUGAUUCUGCAGUGGCCAAGUGGAAACUGCGACGGAAACAGCAUCGUUAUCUUUUCCGUUUUUGGACAGAGAGAUAGAAUGCAUGGAGUAUACUUUGGAGACCAGGGGAAGAGCUGGAUUAAAACAGGGAGAAAGAGAGAGAAAUGAGAAAGUGUAGACAAAGUUUAGUCCACUGAGACUCAAGCAAAAAUUUGGCCCUGUAUUUAAUUCUGGGCUGGAACGAAAAAAGUGUGAAUAAGUGUACAAUAGAUAGUUUUUUAUUCUUUUAAAAUUUACAAUUAAAAACUUAUUCAACACAAAUUAAAGCCACAAAUCAUUCCAAGUACCUUUAGUUUUGUUUUGGCUCUAAAUCGGAUCGCAUUUUAAUCCUAUUAUAUAAGCUUCUCCUCUUUUCCGUUUCUCUCUCUCCAAUUUUCCUCUUCUUUUCUUUCCUUUCUUCCAUCUUUCUUUCCUUCUCAUCUACUCUAUUUUCUCUUCUAAUUUUUUGACUCCUUGAGUAUUCCUCUCCAUUUUCCUCCUCUUCUCAAUUUCUCAAUUUAUUACUCUCGUCUCCUGUUUUCCUCUCAUCUAUUCUUCAUUUUUUUCCUCUCCUCCUUUCUCCCCUUGUCCAUCCUUCUCUUUUUUGUUGUCUUUAAUUGCACUUUGCAUUUCACCAACAUUUUUUCUUCUAUUUUUGAGUUUUCCCUCCUCUACUCCUCUUCUUUUUUCACCUCUCAUCUACUGUCUUAAUCUCUUCUUUUCCUCUUGUUGGUUUCCUCUCCUCCAGUUGGUUCUCCUAUCCUCUCCUGUCACACUGCUCCUUUCCAUUCCUCUCCUCUCUAUGCUUUCCUCUCUUCUGUUUUCCCCUCCUCUGUCUUUGUCCUCUCCUCUCUUCCUUUCUGUUUUCCACCCCUCCUAUCUAUUUUCCUGUCCUCUCUUAUAUCCUAUCCCUCUCCUCAGUUUUGCUCUUCUCUCCCCCUCUAUUUUUUGCUUCUCUUCUCUCCUCUUAUUGCUUCUCCUCUCCUCUAUUCAGUUUUCCUCUCCUCUCCUUUUUCCCUCUCCUCUCCUCUCCUCUCCUUUUUUCCUCUCCUCUAUUCAGUUUUCCUCUCAUCUCCUUUUUUCCUCUCCUCUCUUCAGUUUUCCUCUCCUCUCCUCUCCUGGACAGGUGGCUAAGUUCUCUCAGCCUCCUCAGCCGUAUCCACGACAACAACCUCCUUCCUGUCACAUGGCCAAGCCCAGCAGCCAAUCGCUGACCCCGGCAACCCUUUCACUCAAACGUUGUGUGUAUGUUUGUGUAGGUCUGUGCCUGCACACAAGCGAACAUGUUCUUCCUCCCCCGGCGCGCUCUCCUCUGACCUCUUUUGUGGAAGUAUCUCUUAACAGCAGUGUUAAGUGCACAUAAUAAUAGGUGACAGAGCUGUAUGAGCAUUAUCCUGCAGUGCUUUCCCUCUCCUAAUCCACACUCUCUGCCAUGAAAGAGCUUUCACAAGAAAUAUUGUACUUUUUUGGCACGGGAUCCUUAAGGGAAGGCAAAAUUGUCAGAGUGCAUUUUUCCCCUCCUCCCGAGCACUUCCCCACG